rnacentral:rRNA from 1 species
GAUUAAGUUAUUAAGGGCGCACGGUGGAUGCCUUGGCACUAGAAGCCGAUGAAGGACGUUACUAACGACGAUAUGCUUUGGGGAGCUGUAAGUAAGCUUUGAUCCAGAGAUUUCCGAAUGGGGAAACCCAGCAUGAGUUAUGUCAUGUUAUCGAUAUGUGAAUACAUAGCAUAUCAGAAGGCACACCCGGAGAACUGAAACAUCUUAGUACCCGGAGGAAGAGAAAGAAAAUUCGAUUCCCUUAGUAGCGGCGAGCGAAACGGGAAGAGCCCAAACCAACAAGCUUGCUUGUUGGGGUUGUAGGACACUCUAUACGGAGUUACAAAGGACGACAUUAGACGAAUCAUCUGGAAAGAUGAAUCAAAGAAGGUAAUAAUCCUGUAGUCGAAAAUGUUGUCUCUCUUGAGUGGAUCCUGAGUACGACGGAGCACGUGAAAUUCCGUCGGAAUCUGGGAGGACCAUCUCCUAAGGCUAAAUACUCUCUAGUGACCGAUAGUGAACCAGUACCGUGAGGGAAAGGUGAAAAGCACCCCGGAAGGGGAGUGAAAUAGAACCUGAAACCGUGUGCUUACAAGUAGUCAGAGCCCGUUAAUGGGUGAUGGCGUGCCUUUUGUAGAAUGAACCGGCGAGUUACGAUUUGAUGCAAGGUUAAGCAGUAAAUGUGGAGCCGUAGCGAAAGCGAGUCUGAAUAGGGCGUUUAGUAUUUGGUCGUAGACCCGAAACCAGGUGAUCUACCCUUGGUCAGGUUGAAGUUCAGGUAACACUGAAUGGAGGACCGAACCGACUUACGUUGAAAAGUGAGCGGAUGAACUGAGGGUAGCGGAGAAAUUUCAAUCGAACCUGGAGAUAGCUGGUUCUCUCCGAAAUAGCUUUAGGGCUAGCCUCAAGUGAUGAUUAUUGGAGGUAGAGCACUGUUUGGACGAGGGGCCCCUCUCGGGUUACCGAAUUCAGACAAACUCCGAAUGCCAAUUAAUUUAACUUGGGAGUCAGAACAUGGGUGAUAAGGUCCGUGUUCGAAAGGGAAACAGCCCAGACCACCAGCUAAGGUCCCAAAAUAUAUGUUAAGUGGAAAAGGAUGUGGCGUUGCCGAGACAACUAGGAUGUUGGCUUAGAAGCAGCCAUCAUUUAAAGAGUGCGUAAUAGCUCACUAGUCGAGUGACACUGCGCCGAAAAUGUACCGGGGCUAAACAUAUUACCGAAGCUGUGGAUUGUCCUU